rnacentral:rRNA from 1 species
AACGAACGCUGGCGGCAGGCUUAACACAUGCAAGUCGAACGCCCCGCCAGGGGAGUGGCAGACGGGUGAGUACCGCGUGGGAACAUACCCUUUUCUACGGAAUAGCUCUGGGAAACUGGAAUUAAUACCGUAUACGCCCUACGGGGGAAAGAUUUAUCGGGGAAGGAUUGGCCCGCGUUGGAUUAGCUAGUUGGUGGGGUAAAGGCCUACCAAGGCGACGAUCCAUAGCUGGUCUGAGAGGAUGAUCAGCCACAUUGGGACUGAGACACGGCCCAAACUCCUACGGGAGGCAGCAGUGGGGAAUAUUGGACAAUGGGCGCAAGCCUGAUCCAGCCAUGCCGCGUGAGUGAUGAAGGCCUUAGGGUUGUAAAGCUCUUUCACGGAUGAAGAUAAUGACGGUAGUCGGAGAAGAAGCCCCGGCUAACUUCGUG